GUUGGUGGAGUGAUUUGUCUGGUUAAUUCCGAUAACGAACGAGACCUCAGCCUGCUAAUUAGCCGGUGCUAUUGCGUUUGUGAUAGUGUCCGCGUUACUUCUUAGAGGGACUAUGCGUGCGUAGCGCAUGGAAGUUUGAGGCAACAACAGGU
rnacentral:rRNA from 1 species